GACGAACGCUGGCGGCGUGCUUAACACAUGCAAGUCGAGCGGUAAGGCCCUUUCGGGGGUACGACGAGCGGCGAACGGGUGAGUAACACGUGGGUGACCUGCCCUCAGCUCUGGGAUAAGCCUGGGAAACCGGGUCUAAUACUGGAUAUGACUCCAUGACGCAUGUUGUGGGGUGGAAAGCCUUGUGCGGCUGAGGAUGGGCCCGCGGCCUAUCAGCUUGUUGGUGGGGUGAUGGCCUACCAAGGCGACGACGGGUAGCCGGCCUGAGAGGGCGACCGGCCACACUGGGACUGAGACACGGCCCAGACUCCUACGGGAGGCAGCAGUGGGGAAUCUUGCGCAAUGGGCGAAAGCCUGACGCAGCGACGCCGCGUGAGGGAUGACGGCCUCGG
rnacentral:rRNA from 1 species